rnacentral:rRNA from 1 species
UACGUAGGGUGCGAGCGUUAAUCGGAAUUACUGGGCGUAAAGGGUGCGUAGGCGGUCUUUAAAGUCCGUUGUGAAAGCCCCGGGCUUAACCUGGGAAUGGCAGUGGAAACUAGGAGACUUGGAAUCUGGCAGAGGGGGGUGGAAUUCCACGUGUAGCAGUGAAAUGCGUAGAGAUGUGGAGGAACACCGAUGGCGAAGGCAGCCCCCUGGGCCGCGAUUGACGCUGAGGGCACGAAAGCGUGGGGAGCAAACAGG